rnacentral:rRNA from 1 species
GCUACGGGAGGCUGCAGUGGGGAAUAUUGGACAAUGGGGGGAACCCUGAUCCAGCCAUGCCGCGUGUGUGAAGAAGGCCCUCGGGUUGUAAAGCACUUUCAGUGAGGAAGAACGCCUGGUGGUUAAUACCCAUCAGGAAAGACAUCACUCACAGAAGAAGCACCGGCUAACUCCGUGCCAGCAGCCGCGGUAAUACGGAGGGUGCGAGCGUUAAUCGGAAUUACUGGGCGUAAAGCGCGCGUAGGUGGCUUGAUAAGCCGGUUGUGAAAGCCCCGGGCUCAACCUGGGAACGGCAUCCGGAACUGUCAAGCUAGAGUGCAGGAGAGGAAGGUAGAAUUCCCGGUGUAGCGGUGAAAUGCGUAGAGAUCGGGAGGAAUACCAGUGGCGAAGGCGGCCUUCUGGACUGACACUGACACUGAGGUGCGAAAGCGUGGGUAGCAAACAGGAUUAGAUACCCGAGUAGUC